rnacentral:lncRNA from 1 species
AUCUUGCAAAGAAGGUCAAAGGCACGAACAUCCAGGUGUUCUCAGUGCAUCCAGGAGCUGUCCAGUCCAACCUUGGGAGACACAUUGCGGGUUCCUUCACAGCCUCCUGGUAUGCUGCACUGAUAUUGAAGAAUAGCAUGGAAGGGGCUCAGACCACUCUGCAUUGUGCUCUUGAGGCAGAACAGGACAACCAUAGUUACUAUUUCAGUGACUGUGCCGUGGGUUAUGCUUCAGCAGUUGCCAGGAACGAUGACAUAGCUGAACGUCUGUGGCAGGUGUCCGAGAAGAUGGUUAAGCUUUAGGAAGGAAUUGGAGAAAUGAAAACAGAGAUAAAAAGAAAAAAGAAAUAAAGUAGAGAGAAGAGAGAAUUGUCAAUUUUCUGGAGAUUACAUAAUGGUGCCUUUACUUAAUAUAAUAAUUAAAGUUGAAUAGUUCACUAAUAAUUUAUUUGUCACUGAUAAAACAAAGAUAAACAGUUUAACAUGUAAGGCACAAGAGAGGAGCAUCCUCGGGCCUAGUAUAUUUUCCAUUAUAGGGUUCUUCUCCCUUCCCAAAAUCAUGGCUAUGCCUAUGUUUUUAGGUCUAUUGUUAUGUAAGUUAAGAAGGAAGGAUUGUUCCUUUGAUGUUUGCAUGUUGUAUGCAUUAGUAUGUUUUUUCUAUGGAAAUGUUUAAAUGGAAACAGUAAAACUUGAAAUAUA